GACGAACGCUGGCGGCGUGGAUUAGGCAUGCAAGUCGAACGGUAUCAUCCUUUCGGGGAUGAGAGAGUGGCGAACGGGUGAGUAACACGUAGGUGAUCUACCCUCAAGACGGGGACAACCCAGGGAAACUUGGGCUAAUACCGGAUGUGAGCUAUCGUGAGAUAGUUUGAAAGGUGGCUUCGGCUGCCGCUUGAGGAUGAGCCUGCGUCCUAUUAGCUAGUUGGUGAGGUAACGGCUCACCGAGGCAGUGAUAGGUAGGCGGCCUUAACGGGUGGUCGCCCACACUGGGAUUGAGAUACGGCCCAGACUCCUACGGGAGGCAGCAGUCGAGAAUAGUCUACAAUGGUCGAAAGACUGAUAGUGCGACGCCGCGUGAACGAAGAAGCCCUUCGGGGUGUAAAGUUCUUUUAUAUGUGAGCAGUGACAUCUAUAUUAAUAGUAUGGGUGUAGAGAUAUUAGCAUAUGAAUAAGCAACGGCUAACUCCGUAGCC
rnacentral:rRNA from 1 species